rnacentral:tRNA from 1 species
AUCUAAAUAGUUUAAGUUAAAAUAAAAGAUUGUGGUUCUUUUGAUGUAAUAAUUACUUUAGAUA